AAAAAAAUUGACAAUGUAACAACAAUAUAUGUGGAUAUAUGUAUAUGCAUGCACCUAUCUUGUUUCUCAUAUAUAUUCUUUUUGUUAUGCUUGCUGCUUGUUUGUGU
rnacentral:ribozyme from 1 species